UACGGAGGGUGCAAGCGUUAUCCGGAUUCACUGGGCUUAAAGGGCGCGUAGGCGGGCAGGUAAGUCCGUGGUGAAAUCUCUGAGCUUAACUCAGAAACUGCCAUGGAUACUAUCUGUCUUGAAUAUUGUGGAGGUAAGCGGAAUAUGUCAUGUAGCGGUGAAAUGCUUAGAUAUGACAUAGAACACCAAUUGCGAAGGCAGCUGGCUAGACAUAUAUUGACACUGAGGCACGAAAGCGUGGGGAUCAAACAGG
rnacentral:rRNA from 1 species